rnacentral:rRNA from 1 species
ACGCUAGCUACAGGCUUAACACAUGCAAGUCGAGGGGCAGCAUCAUCAAAGCUUGCUUUGAUGGAUGGCGACCGGCGCACGGGUGAGUAACACGUAUCCAACCUGCCGACAACACUGGGAUAGCCUUUCGAAAGAAAGAUUAAUACCGGAUGGCAUAAUUAUUCCGCAUGGGAUAAUUAUUAAAGAAUUUCGGUUGUCGAUGGGGAUGCGUUCCAUUAGGCAGUUGGCGGGGUAACGGCCCACCAAACCUACGAUGGAUAGGGGUUCUGAGAGGAAGGUCCCCCACAUUGGAACUGAGACACGGUCCAAACUCCUACGGGAGGCAGCAGUGAGGAAUAUUGGUCAAUGGACGAGAGUCUGAACCAGCCAAGUAGCGUGAAGGAUGACUGCCCUAUGGGUUGUAAACUUCUUUUAUACGGGAAUAAAGUGAGCCACGUGUGGCUUUUUGUAUGUACCGUAUGAAUAAGGAUCGGCUAACUCCGUGCCAGCAGCCGCGGUAAUACGGAGGAUCCGAGCGUUAUCCGGAUUUAUUGGGUUUAAAGGGAGCGUAGGCGGGUUGUUAAGUCAGUUGUGAAAGUUUGCGGCUCAACCGUAAAAUUGCAGUUGAUACUGGCGACCUUGAGUGCAACAGAGGUAGGCGGAAUUCGUGGUGUAGCGGUGAAAUGCUUAGAUAUCACGAAGAACUCCGAUUGCGAAGGCAGCUUACUGGAUUGUAACUGACGCUGAUGCUCGAAAGUGUGGGUAUCAAACAGGAUUAGAUACCCUGGUAGUCCACACAGUAAACGAUGAAUACUCGCUGUUGGCGAUAUACAGUCAGCGGCCAAGCGAAAGCAUUAAGUAUUCCACCUGGGGAGUACGCCGGCAACGGUGAAACUCAAAGGAAUUGACGGGGGCCCGCACAAGCGGAGGAACAUGUGGUUUAAUUCGAUGAUACGCGAGGAACCUUACCCGGGCUUAAAUUGCAACUGACGGAACCGGAAACGGUUCUUUCUUCGGACAGUUGUGAAGGUGCUGCAUGGUUGUCGUCAGCUCGUGCCGUGAGGUGUCGGCUUAAGUGCCAUAACGAGCGCAACCCUUACGGGUAGUUACCAUCAGGUUAUGCUGGGGACUCUACCCGGACUGCCGUCGUAAGAUGUGAGGAAGGUGGGGAUGACGUCAAAUCAGCACGGCCCUUACGUCCGGGGCUACACACGUGUUACAAUGGGGGGUACAGAAGGCAGCUACACGGCGACGUGGUGCUAAUCCCAAAAGCCUCUCUCAGUUCGGAUUGGAGUCUGCAACCCGACUCCAUGAAGCUGGAUUCGCUAGUAAUCGCGCAUCAGCCACGGCGCGGUGAAUACGUUCCCGGGCCUUGUACACACCGCCCGUCAAGCCAUGAAAGCCGGGGGUACCUGAAGUACGUAACCAAAAGGAGCGUCCUAGGGUAAAACUGGUGA